rnacentral:rRNA from 1 species
ACGAGGCGAACCGGGGGAACUGAAACAUCUAAGUACCCCGAGGAAAAGAAAUCAACCGAGAUUCCCCCAGUAGCGGCGAGCGAACGGGGAGCAGCCCGGAGUCUGAAUCAGCUUGUGUGUUAGUGGAAGCGUCUGGAAAGUCGCAGGGUACAGGGUGAUACUCCCGUACACUAAAACACACAGGCUGUGAACUCGAAGAGUAGGGCGGGACACGUGGUAUCCUGUCUGAAUAUGGGGGGACCAUCCUCCAAGGCUAAAUACUCCUGACUGACCGAUAGUGAACCAGUACCGUGAGGGAAAGGCGAAAAGAACCCCGGCGAGGGGAGUGAAAAAGAACCUGAAACCGUGUACGUACAAGCAGUAGGAGCCCACUAGUUGGGUGACUGCGUACCUUUUGUAUAAUGGGUCAGCGACUUAUAUUCUGUAGCAAGGUUAACCGAAUAGGGGAGCCGCAGGGAAACCGAGUCUUAACUGGGCGUUAAGUUGCAGGGUAUAGACCCGAAACCCGGUGAUCUAGCCAUGGGCAGGUUGAAGGUUGGGUAACACUAACUGGAGGACCGAACCGACUAAUGUUGAAAAAUUAGCGGAUGACUUGUGGCUGGGGGUGAAAGGCCAAUCAAACCGGGAGAUAGCUGGUUCUCCCCGAAAGCUAUUUAGGUAGCGCCUCGUGAACUCAUCUUCGGGGGUAGAGCACUGUUUCGGCUAGGGGGUCAUCCCGACUUACCAACCCGAUGCAAACUACGAAUACCGAAGAAUGUUAUCACGGGAGACACACGGCGGGUGCUAACGUCCGUCGUGAAGAGGGAAACAACCCAGACCGCCAGCUAAGGUCCCAAAGUCAUGGUUAAGUGGGAAACGAUGUGGGAAGGCCCAGACAGCCAGGAUGUUGGCUUAGAAGCAGCCAUCAUUUAAAGAAAGCGUAAUAGCUCACUGGUCGAGUCGGCCUGCGCGGAAGAUGUAACGGGGCUAAACCAUGCACCGAAGCUGCGGCAGCGACGCUUAUGCGUUGUUGGGUAGGGGAGCGUUCUGUAAGCCGUUGAAGGUGGCCUGUGAGGGUUGCUGGAGGUAUCAGAAGUGCGAAUGCUGACAUAAGUAACGAUAAUGCGGGUGAAAAACCCGCACGCCGGAAGACCAAGGGUUCCUGUCCAACGUUAAUCGGGGCAGGGUGAGUCGACCCCUAAGGCGAGGCCGAAAGGCGUAGUCGAUGGGAAACAGGUUAAUAUUCCUGUACUUGGUGUUACUGCGAAGGGGGGACGGAGAAGGCUAUGUUGGCCGGGCGACGGUUGUCCCGGUUUAAGCAUGUAGGCGGAUGUUCCAGGUAAAUCCGGAACGUUACUAACGCUGAGGUGUGAUGACGAGGCACUACGGUGCUGAAGUGACAAAUGCCCUGCUUCCAGGAAAAGCCUCUAAGCAUCAGGUAACAUCAAAUCGUACCCCAAACCGACACAGGUGGUCAGGUAGAGAAUACCAAGGCGCUUGAGAGAACUCGGGUGAAGGAACUAGGCAAAAUGGUGCCGUAACUUCGGGAGAAGGCACGCUGAUGGUAGGUGAAGCGACUUGCUCGUGGAGCUGAAAUCAGUCGAAGAUACCAGCUGGCUGCAACUGUUUAUUAAAAACACAGCACUGUGCAAACACGAAAGUGGACGUAUACGGUGUGACGCCUGCCCGGUGCCGGAAGGUUAAUUGAUGGGGUUAUCCUCGCGGAGAAGCUCUUGAUCGAAGCCCCGGUAAACGGCGGCCGUAACUAUAACGGUCCUAAGGUAGCGAAAUUCCUUGUCGGGUAAGUUCCGACCUGCACGAAUGGCGUAAUGAUGGCCAGGCUGUCUCCACCCGAGACUCAGUGAAAUUGAACUCGCUGUGAAGAUGCAGUGUACCCGCGGCAAGACGGAAAGACCCCGUGAACCUUUACUAUAGCUUGACACUGAACACUGGUCCUUGAUGUGUAGGAUAGGUGGGAGGCUUUGAAGUGUGGACGCCAGUCUGCAUGGAGCCGUCCUUGAAAUACCACCCUUUAAUGGCUGGUGUUCUAACGUGGGCCCGUAAUCCGGGUUGCGGACAGUGUCUGGUGGGUAGUUUGACUGGGGCGGUCUCCUCCUAAAGAGUAACGGAGGAGCACGAAGGUCAGCUAAUCCUGGUCGGACAUCAGGAGGUUAGUGCAAUGGCAUAAGCUGGCUUGACUGCGAGCGUGACGGCGCGAGCAGGUGCGAAAGCAGGUCAUAGUGAUCCGGUGGUUCUGAAUGGAAGGGCCAUCGCUCAACGGAUAAAAGGUACUCCGGGGAUAACAGGCUGAUACCGCCCAAGAGUUCAUAUCGACGGCGGUGUUUGGCACCUCGAUGUCGGCUCAUCACAUCCUGGGGCUGAAGUAGGUCCCAAGGGUAUGGCUGUUCGCCAUUUAAAGUGGUACGCGAGCUGGGUUUAGAACGUCGUGAGACAGUUCGGUCCCUAUCUGCCGUGGGCGCUGGAGAAUUGAGGGGGGCUGCUCCUAGUACGAGAGGACCGGAGUGGACGCAUCACUGGUGUUCGGGUUGUCAUGCCAAUGGCAUUGCCCGGUAGCUAAAUGCGGAAGAGAUAAGUGCUGAAAGCAUCUAAGCACGAAACUUGCCCCGAGAUGAGUUCUCCCUGACUCCUUGAGAGUCCUGAAGGAACGUUGAAGACGACGACGUUGAUAGGCCGGGUGUGUAAGCGCAGCGAUGCGUUGAGCUAACCGGUACUAAUGAACCGUGAGGCUUAACC